rnacentral:rRNA from 1 species
CAGCCGCCGCGGGAAUACGUAUGUCACGAGCGUUAUCCGGAUUUAUUGGGCGUAAAGCGCGUCUAGGUGGUUAUAUAAGUCUGAUGUGAAAAUGCAGGGCUCAACUCUGUAUUGCGUUGGAAACUGUAUAACUAGAGUACUGGAGAGGUAAGCGGAACUACAAGUGUAGAGGUGAAAUUCGUAGAUAUUUGUAGGAAUGCCGAUGGGGAAGCCAGCUUACUGGACAAAUACUGACGCUGAAGCGCGAAAGCGUGGGUAGCAAACAGGAUUAGAUACCCCCGUAGUCCCUGUCUCUUAUACC